AUUUUCUGCCACCGAAUACAUUAGCAUGGGAUAAUGGAAUAGGACCCUGUCCUCCUAUUUUCAGUUGGUUUUGGCAGCGCGAGGACUAGGGUAAUGAUUAAUAGGGAUAGUUGGGGGCAUUAAUAUUUAAUUGUCAGAGGUGAAAUUCUUGGAUUUAUGAAAGAUUAACUUCUGCGAAAGCAUCUGCCAAGGAUGUUUUCAUUAAUCAAGAACGAAAGUUAGGGGAUCGAAGACGAUCAGAUACCGUCGUAGUCUUAACCAUAAACGAUGCCGACCAGCGAUUAGGAGACGUUGAAUACAAAACACCACCAUCGGCGCGGUCGUCCCUGGCUCGUCGUCUCACGACGGCGGGCGGGGGCGGYUUAGCCCGAUGGCACCGGUGAAUGACUCCCCUAGCAGCUUGUGAGAA
rnacentral:rRNA from 1 species